CAGUAGCCACGGGAAUACAGAGGAUGCAAGCGUUAUCCGGAAUGAUUGGGCGUAAAGCGUCUGUAGGUGGCUUUUCAAGUCCGCCGUCAAAUCCCAGGGCUCAACCCUGGACAGGCGGUGGAAACUACCAAGCUGGAGUACGGUAGGGGCAGAGGGAAUUUCCGGUGGAGCGGUGAAAUGCGUAGAUAUAUGGAGGAACACCGGUGGCGAAAGCGGCUCUCUGGUCUGUAACUGACGCUGAGGCUCGAAAGCGUGGGGAGCGAACAGGAUUAGAUACCCGGGUAGUCCCUGUCUCUUAUAC
rnacentral:rRNA from 1 species